CACGUAGGGGGCAAGCGUUGUCCGGAUUUAUUGGGCGUAAAGAGCUCGUAGGCGGCUUAGUAAGUCGGGUGUGAAACCUCCAGGCUCAACCGUGGAGACGCCACCCGAUACUGCUGUGGCUAGAGUCCGGUAGGGGAGCGUGGAAUUCCUGGUGUAGCGGUGAAAUGCGCAGAUAUCAGGAGGAACACCAGCGGCGAAGGCGGCGCUCUGGGCCGGUACUGACGCUGAGGAGCGAAAGCGUGGGGAGCAAACAGG
rnacentral:rRNA from 1 species